AACAAAACCCUAGACACCACCAAAACAUCCUCUCUGCCUCUCCUCUCACAGCCAAGCAGAUCCCAAAAAAAAACCCUAGCCACCACCAAAGCAUUCUCUCUGCCUCUCCUCUCACCGCCGGCCAAAUGAAGCCAACACAUACCUCUCUACCACUGGUGACGACACUAGAGAAUGUAGAAGGAAAGUAUUGAGAGUUUGCACAGCGGAGGUGUGGUCAUCUGCAUCACUUCCGUAAGGACAUCAUCACAAAUCACUUUAGCUAUAGUUUUAACAUCUUCACUAUCUUCUUCCCCAACCUGAUUUAUAAAGGUUUUUGGCAGCGAUAACUGAUAACCUAUAUAAUGACCGGGCGUGGACGUGUCCCUUCUCCGGGGGAUGUAUCAAAAGGUGGGCGUGGACGUGUACCUUCUCCAAGGGAUGUAUCAAGUGGUGGGUGUGGACGUGUCCCUUCUCCGGGGGAUGUAUCAAGUGGUGUGCAUGGGCGUGGGCGUGGGCAUGCAUCUGUCCCUAGUGGUGGGCGGGGGUUGGAGUCAGGUGGUGGACGUGGGCGGGGUUCGGAGUCCGGUGGUGGAC